rnacentral:rRNA from 1 species
GACGAACGCUGGCGGCGUGCUUAACACAUGCAAGUCGAGCGGUAAGGCCCUUUCGGGGUACGACGAGCGGCGAACGGGUGAGUAACACGUGGGUGACCUGCCCUCCAGCUCUGGGAGUAAGCCUGGGAAACUGGGUCUAAUACUGGAUAUGACUCCACGGUGCAUGUCGUGGGGUGGAAAGCCUUGUGCGGCUGAGGAUGGGCCCGCGGCCUAUCAGCUUGUUGGUGGGGUGAGGCCUACCAAGGCGACGACGGGUAGCCGGCCUGAGAGGGCGACCGGCCACACUGGGACUGAGACACGGGCCCAGACUCCUACGGGAGGCAGCAGUGGGGAAUCUUGCGCAAUGGGCGAAAGCCUGACGCAGCGACGCCGCGUGAGGGAUGACGGCCUGUGUAACUC